GAUGAGAACGCAGCGAAAUGCGAUAAGUAGUGUGAAUUGCAGAAUUCAGUGAAUCAUCGAAUCUUUGAACGCACAUUGCGCCCUUUGGUAUUCCAAAGGGCAUGCCUGUUCGAGCGUCAUUUGUACCCUCAAGCUUUGCUUGGUGUUGGGCGUCUUGUCUCUAGCUUUGCUGGAGACUCGCCUUAAAGUAAUUGGCAGCCGGCCUACUGGUUUCGGAGCGCAGCACAAGUCGCACUCUCUAUCAGCAAAGGUCUAGCAUCCAUUAAGCCUUUUUUUUCAACUUUUGACCUCGGAUCAGGUAGGGAUACCCGCUGAACUUAAGCAUAUCAAUAAGCGGAGGA
rnacentral:misc_RNA from 1 species